GCUUCCUUUUUGCAGUCCGGGUGGACCCAAAGCUCCGUGGCGGUGCUGAACUUUAGGGCAGCCACUAGCCACGGACUUAAGCGGCAAUUGAGCGCCUCAAAGUGGUGCCCUAAAGAAGGAAGCUUGAAUGCCCCUGGGGAUAAGAGGCUUAUUACCAGAGGGAUACUCCCAGAUCCUCCCAGCACACCUGUAGACACCUCCUGCACACCCUCGGCGGCCCGGUGACAGCCAUCCACCAGCUGGCGGGUCCAGGCAGCCAGCUCCUGCGGUGACUCCACGCUGAACAGGGAUGGUUUAUGAUACAGCAACAGAUAGCCAAAAUACCAGGAGAAAAGACUCUUUGGCUUUUGUCUUCUUUCUGCCUGGAAUAUGAACACAAUUGUUGGGAUACAGCCACCAUCCUGCCUCCACGAAGAAGAAAACCGCCCAUAAUUAAAAUGGCAGAGCAGGAAGCUAGAAGCCUGGUUCCUUGAUGGCAUCCUUGAGCAUCUACAGCAGCCUGAAUAGCUGACCCCUGGACUUCUUUUUAAACAUGUGGGAAAAUUAACCCCUUUUAUUGAAGUCAUUGCUUGUUGGAGUUUCUGUACUUGCAGCCUAAUGCAAUCCUAACACUGAGUAAAAGUUUGAAGUAGUUUUCAUUACAUUUUGGUUGCCAGGCUGUAUCCCUAUGACUGGGAUACUACA